rnacentral:ncRNA from 1 species
UUGAGCCGGAUGCGGGGAAACUUGCACGUCCGGUUCUUAGGGGGGGACCUAGCCGCGAGGCUACGUCCCUACCCGAC